GUCUACGGCCACGCCACCCUGAAAAGCCCGAACUCGUCUGAUCUCGGAAGCUAAGCAGGGUUGGGCCUGGUUAGUACUUGGAUGGGAGACCACCUAGGAAGACCAGGUGCUGUAGGCA
rnacentral:rRNA from 1 species